ensembl:lincRNA
GGGAAGUUGAAUUUUCCAUUUUGGGGAGAGGUUUUUUUUUGGUGGGGAGGAGGGAGCAAAGAUGGAGUGCCUACUUUAUUAUUAUUUUUAUCCCUCAGGUUUGCAGGUGGUGGAGAGAAUACCAAGACCUAGGCUCUCCUGAUCUCCCUGCAUCCCUGUCAUUUUUGGCAAUGUCGCUAAUCGGCCCAGCAGCCCGAAUCCACACGCCCCGGCGUCCAGGCUCUGCAAGGUGCAGCUGGUCUCAGGCCCUGUCUCAGAAUAAGGAAGUAAUCAGAAUUUAUUCACGUGGGCCGACUGAGAGUUUUGACGUCAAAGGGCAAUCCUGUCUGAUUGAUACCACUCAAAUGGCAAUAUUGUUUGAAGAAAUGUAGUUAGAGAGAUGGCAAUUUAAAGGCUAUAAGAAGUUACAGGAAAAGAUUUUGUGAAUAGAGACUAUAAAGCACUCCUGUAUCCUUGGCCCCAAAGAGGGCUCUCCAGACAGAAAGUUGCCUGCAUGUCCCGGUGCGUGUUUUUGAGUAUGUUACUGUUCUUCACUGCUCUGUCCCAAGAAAUCCAGCAUUGCCUAUGGCAUACCUUCUGAGGAAAGCCUUUGGGGCAAAGAAAUUACAAAAAUGAAGGUGGGGGAGUAUUACAAUUUGUAACAGUCACUUAAGAAUUCUCAACAUGUUUUUUUCAUUGGCUAAAAACAAAACAAGGUAAUACAAGACACCUGUGACCAUGCUAAAAAUAAGAGGCACAGAUGCCCCACCGUUAAAGCAAGCAGGUCACGCAGCAGGGGCAUUCCUGUGGGUGAGCGGCCUGGGAGACCAACAGAGAAGAAUCACC